AACGAACGCUGGCGGCAUGCCUAACACAUGCAAGUCGAACGAGACCUUCGGGUCUAGUGGCGCACGGGUGCGUAACGCGUGGGAACCUGCCCUUAGGUUCGGAAUAACUCCCCGAAAGGGGUGCUAAUACCGGAUAUUGUCUUCGGACCAAAGAUUUAUCGCCUUUGGAUGGGCCCGCGUUGGAUUAGCUAGUUGGUAGGGUAAAAGCCUACCAAGGCGACGAUCCAUAGCUGGUCUGAGAGGAUGAUCAGCCACACUGGGACUGAGACACGGCCCAGACUCCUACGGGAGGCAGCAGUGGGGAAUAUUGGACAAGGGGCGAAAGCCUGAUCCAGCAAUGCCGCGUGAGUGAUGAAGGCCUUAGGGUUGUAAAGCUCUUUUACCCGGGAUGAUAAUGACAGUACCGGGAGAAUAAGCGCCGGCUAACUCCGUG
rnacentral:rRNA from 1 species